rnacentral:tRNA from 1 species
GUCCCCAUCGUCUAGAGGCCUAGGACGUCGCCCUUUCAAGGCGAUAACAAGGGUUCGAAUCCCUUUGGGGACGCCA